GUGGGAAUAUAUUUCUCUUUCUUAUUUCCCUGUUCAUCCUCCACUUAUGGUCAUGCUUAGUGUUCUCGUUCCGUAAGAAGCGGAGGUAUCUACAUAUGUACCUGUGGAGCUGAUGAUGAGAGCGGUUUCUUUCUUGUUUUGUUUCAAACUACUUAUCAAAGUUUGUUGAGUGAGUCCCUUAGCUCUGGGGUUUGUCAAUGGGAGUGGCGAGCGCGCAUCGGAGCUCGUCAUCCUCCUCAGGAAUCUGUGCUGUCGGCAAGGGAGAUACCUGCCCCGAUGUAUUAGAUCGAGCAAUAAGAUCGUCUCCGCUUGAUCUG
rnacentral:lncRNA from 1 species